rnacentral:rRNA from 1 species
AUUGAACGCUGGCGGCAGGCCUAACACAUGCAAGUCGAGCGGAGGAAGGGAGCUUGCUCUUGGAUUCAGCGGCGGACGGGUGAGUAAUGCCUAGGAACCUGCCUGGUAGUGGGGGAUAACGUCCGGAAACGGGCGCUAAUACCGCAUACGUUCUGAGGGAGAAAGUGGGGGAUCUUCGGACCUCACGCUAUCAGAUGAGCCUAGGUCGGAUUAGCUAGUUGGUGGGGUAAAGGCCUACCAAGGCGACGAUCCGUAACUGGUCUGAGAGGAUGAUCAGUCACACUGGAACUGAGACACGGUCCAGACUCCUACGGGAGGCAGCAGUGGGGAAUUUUGGACAAUGGGCGAAAGCCUGAUCCAGCCAUGCCGCGUGUGUGAAGAAGGUCUUCGGAUUGUAAAGCGCUUUCAGUUGGGAGGAAGGGCAGUAAGUUAAUACCUUGCUGUUUUGACGUUACCAACAGAAUAAGCACCGGCUAACUUCGUG